rnacentral:rRNA from 1 species
GUGUCAGCCGCCGCGGUAAUACGGAGGGUGCAAACGUUGCUCGGAAUCAUUGGGCGUAAAGCGCACGUAGGCGGCCUGUUAAGUCGGAUGUGAAAGCCCCGGGCUCAACUCGGGAAGUGCAUUCGAAACUGGCAGGCUUGAAUAUGGAAGAGGGUCGCGGAAUUCCCGGUGUAGAGGUGAAAUUCGUAGAUAUCGGGAGGAACACCAGUGGCGAAGGCGGCGACCUGGGCCAAUAUUGACGCUGAGGUGCGAAAGCGUGGGGAGCAAACAGGAUUAGAUACCCUAGUAGUCC